CCUACGGGAGGCAGCAGUAGGGACUCUUCCACAAUGGACGAAAGUCUGAUGGCGCAACGCCGCGUGAGUGAAGAAGGGUUUCGGCUCGUACAGCUCUGUUGGUAGUGAAGAAAGAUAGAGGUAGUAACUGGCCUUUAUUUGACGGUAAUUACUUAGAAAGUCACGGCUAACUACGUGCCAGCAGCAGCGGUAAUACGUAGGUGGCAAGCGUUGUCCGGAUUUUUUGGUUGUAAAGCGAGUGACGGGGGUUAAAUAAGUCUGAUGUGAAGGCCGUCGGCUCAACCGGAGAAUUGCAUCAGAAACUGUUGAACGUGAGUGCAGAAGAGGAGAGUGGAACUCCAUGUGUAGCGGUGGAAUGCGUAGAUAUAUGGAAGAACACCAGUGGCGAAGGUGGAUCUCUGGUCUGCAACUGACGCUGAGGCUCGAAAGCAUGGGUAGCGAACAGGAUUAGAUACCCGUGUAGUC
rnacentral:rRNA from 1 species